AGCGUAGGCGGACUUUUAAGUGAGAUGUGAAAUACCCGGGCUCAACUUGGGUGCUGCAUUUCAAACUGGAAGUCUAGAGUGCAGGAGAGGAGAAUGGAAUUCCUAGUGUAGCGGUGAAAUGCGUAGAGAUUAGGAAGAACACCAGUGGCGAAGGCAGGUCUCUGGGCCGUCACUGACGCUGAGGAGCGAAAGCGUGGGGAGCGAACA
rnacentral:rRNA from 1 species